rnacentral:piRNA from 1 species
UGACCUGACACACAAGUGGAUCACACUUA